rfam:Stegodyphus mimosarum contig2197, whole genome shotgun sequence.
AAAAUGGCUGUUUUCACAGCCAUACACUUCCUACUACGAGUUGCGU